GAUUCUCUAACCUUGAAUCAGUAAAUUCACGUCUAUACAUUUCCAAAAUCAACUUUAACUCCAUAUCACUUUCCUUCAAGUCUUGGACUUUUGGA